rnacentral:tRNA from 1 species
GACGGCGUAGUGUAAUGGCUAACACAUCAGUCCUGUCUACUGAAGAUGCUGGUUCGCUCCCAGCCGCCGAAU